GUGUAGAGGCAAAAAUUGUAGAAUGGAUCGCGUUCUACAAGAAUGGUUUUUAUCAAUUUUUGUGUAGAGUCAACUGGUUUUGAGAAAUUUGGUCCCUAAGAUUUUUCCACUGCAUCCUGCCUGUGAUUAGACAAUUCUUUAGAUAUCUCAGUUACUAUUGGACAAACGGCAAAAAGUGUAUAGGCAAAAAUUGUAGAAUGGAUCGCGUUCGACAAGAAUGGUUUCUAUCAAUUUUUGUGUAGAGUCAACUGUUUUUGAGAAACUUGGAUCUUGAGAUUUUUCCACGGUCUACUGCCUGUGAUUAGACAAUUCUCUAGAUAUCUCAGUUACCAUUGGACAAAUGGCAAAAAGUGUAGAGGCAAAAAUUGUAGAAUGGAUCGCGUUCGACAAGAAUGGUUUCUAUCAAUUUUUGUGUAGAGUCAACUGUUUUUGAGAAACUUGGAUCUUGAGAUUUUUCCACGGUCUACUGCCUGUGAUUAGACAAUUCUUUAGAUAUCUCAGUUACCAUUGGACAAAUGGCAAAAAGUGUAGAGGCAAAAAUUGUAGAAUGGAUCGCGUUCUACAAGAAUGGUUUCUAUCAAUUUUUGUGUAGAGUCAACUGGUUUUAAGAAAUUUGGUCCCUAAGAUUUUUCCACUGCAUACUGCCUGUGAUUAGCCAAUUCUUUAGAUAUCUCAGUUACUAUUGGACAAAUGGUAAAAAGUGUAGAGGCAAAAAUUGUAGAAUGGAUCGCGUUCUACAAGAAUGGUUUCUAUCAAUUUUUGUGUAGAGUCAACUGGUUUUGAGAAAUUUGGACCUUAAGAUUUUUCCACGGCCUGCUGCCUGUGAUUAGACAAUUCUUUAAAUAUCUCAGUUACUAUUGGACAAAUGGCAAAAAGUGUAGAGGCAAAAAUUGUAGAAUGGAUCGCGUUUUACAAGAAUGGUUUCUAUCAAUUUUUGUGUAGAGUCAACUGUUUUUGAGAAACUUGGAUCUUAAGAUUUUUCCACGGUCUACUGCCUGUGAUUAGACAAUUCUUUAAAUAUCUCAGUUACUAUUGGACAAAUGGUAAAAAGUGUAGAAGCAAAAAUUGUAGAAUGGAUCGCGUUCUACAAGAAUGGUUCCUAUCAAUUUUUGUGUAGAGUCAACUGGUUUUGAGAAACUUGGAUCUUAAGAUUUUUUCACGGUCUACUGCCUGUGAUUAGACAAUUAGUAGUCGGCGGCCAUAUUAGACUUGUAGCUGUUUAAAAUUUGCCGACAGAUGGCGUAACUAACGUGUUGUUUAGAAAUCGUUAUAGUUACGCGAAAGAUCACCCGUUGGCUGGAGCGCCCUCUGUGGGAUCUAAAAAAAAAUUAAUAAAUACUUCCAGGCUCUCGGAAGCCAUUUCUUAACGCUUUUGACGUCAUUUUUUACGUUCGUCAAAAAGCCCCCUAGUGGCCAAAUUGACAUUUCUCCAGAUCUAGCCGCGAUCCACACUUAGUGAAACACCCUGUAUAUAUAUAUAAUAUAUAUGUAUACAAAUUUUAUAAGGGUAGAAUUGUAUUUAAAGGGUGUUUUUAGGCGGAAAAUCUCCUUGUUUUAGUCAAGAAAAAAAAAAUGAAACCAAAGACGUGCAUUUUCUCUUUUUGCAGUAUUAAGGUGUAAUUUCUAUUCCAUUUAUUCUGUGGUUUAAUUAUUAUUAAUAAAUUAACCAGAUUAUUUUGUAACGAAA